AUAAGGUCCAGUUGAAAUAAUGUGCAAGUAUAAAUAAUACUUCAGUUUUUUUGGUUCAUUACUAAGCAACACUCUGAUUACAACACAAUCCUUCCAACGAUCUCUCACCACUACACCCCCAUGCCGACAAUUAACGAUUCUUCCACACCAAGCAGUACUUUUAGCAGCCUAGCUACUUUAGAUCCCAGCACAAAGCUACAAGCCAAUUAAGAAUUAGGAUCAAUAUCAGUCAAAAGGAAGACAUCAUCCAUUGCGCCACCUUCUCCACCAAGAGGAAGGGGUAGCUCCUUGUGGGGCAGGAGGUGUAAGAAUCUCCAGCAUAGUUUCCUUCUCUUUUGGGGUUAAUGGAACACCUCUAACAAGGUUCAAUGCCAUGAUGUGCACAUUAGUCUUUUGCCUGUGCUUGUUGUAAGCCCAUAUUCCACCAGCAGCACCUGCAACUAGAAGCUAUCUCCAAUACCCACGUUUUAAUAUAACCUCAUUUCAAUAGAAAAAAAUUUGGAUAAAUUACAAUUUGACCACUGAUGAUUAACAAAAACCACUCCUAAAUGCUCUCAUUUUCAAUAAAUUAAAUAUGGUUUGCGAUAAUACAUCAUCGCCAUUUUUGCAUUCUAUGUGGUUUGAGCUUUGCUUGUGAUUUUCAGGAUUGUUUUAGUGAGAAAGAGAGAGAGAGGCUACUGUUUCUCCAUUUUGAAAUUAUUUUGUUCUGCUAAUCUUUAUUUUG
rnacentral:misc_RNA from 1 species